rnacentral:rRNA from 1 species
AUGGAGCAGACCCAGAUUCAGAAGCUGCACGAAAGGGUUCAAACGCUAGAGGAACGAGACGGCAAUCGACAUGCCGAAACUACCCCCGAAGCUACCCCGCCAUCUCAGCGGAGAAGCAGCGUGGCUUCCAUCGAGCUGCUUCAGCCGGAGCAUGUCUUGACGGCUCCUGCUAGCUACCCCGUGGAUGCUAUCACGGAGUCUCAACAUUGCCACCUUAUGGAGGAAUGGCAGAACUUCAAAGUCAAGGUGGCUGUUGGCUCUAUUUUACCUCUUGAACCCGGCGCAACCUACCAUUGCCGGCCGAUUCCAGAAGGAUAUGCUAGGGUGAUGGUGGAUGAAAUAACGGAGGGAUUUGAGGACCUCCAGCUUGACCACCCUACUGGUGAAGGGGAGACUCGGCUGGGUUUAGCUCUGAAGACUCCAUGCCUAUGGCGGAAGGAGCUCAUUAACCUUCCGAACUGGACGCCUCCGGCGAGUAAGGGCACUUCGCCGCCGCCUCCUCCUCCGGCGAGUGAUCAGGGCACUCAGCCUCCUUCUCCGGCGCGUGGCGGCACUCCGCCUCCUCCUCCGGCGAGUGAUCAGGCUACUCAUCAGCCUCCUUCUCCGGGGCGUGGCGGCACUCCGCCUCCUUCUCCGCCCGCGCCGGCGUGCCUGAGCAGCCAGCCUCCUCCUUCUCCGCCUCGUCAGCAAGGGCGGAAGAGACCCGCCGCCGUUCCGGCUGCUCCGGCGCGUCGUAGUCCUUCUCCUCCGCCUCAUAAGCAAGGAAAGAAGACAGCCGCAACUGCUCCAUCUGCUCUGCCGGCGUCUAGCAGUACAGCUGCCAGAGGUGGGAGGCAAUACAGAUUCGGUCCUUCUCUGAAGACUCCAGAGAAGUUAUCAUACGAGAGGACCGAGGAGGAGAACGCGAAGAUCGUGCGAGCCGAAGUGAAGAACUUCUUUGAAGGGGUGAAAGCAAAGAAAUAUCCACCUCCGGAGGAGAAGGUAGAUCCGGUGAAAGCGAAGCGCACUCUGGAUGCCCUGACAAAACCACCAAAGUCUCCGCCGAAAGGCAACUAUGAGCGCAUUAUUGCAAAGACAUUUGUCGAAGCGGAGCGGUCGGGAAGUACUGUCAGUGAUCAAAGGUUAAAAGAACGACGAGCUGGGAAAAAAAUUGCCCAGCUCGGCGAACAAGCGAACCAAUCGUGCCCCCCGCUCAAGGUGUCUAAAGACAUCGUCGCUAAUGAUCCGAGGAUGGUGGCCGGUUAUAGCAAUCUUGGAGAUUACCUGCCCGACGAUGUACAUUAUGAAAUCAUGGAGGUGGAUGAACACAAAUACCAUUACGGGAAGCCUCUCGUCAAAGAUGAAAGAUCUCUAACAACGAUGAUGCGAAGAUUACAUGAUUGGUACAUGAAAACCUACAGAGAGUCUGAUGGGAUGAAUACUUUGACGCUGAGAGUUAAACCGGAGCAUGACCUCGUUGGAAUUGAACUGCUGAAUGUUCCAUUUGAGGAGUUCUUCCAGUUUUUCAAUCAA